UAUAUAUGUGUAUAUAUAUAUAUGUUUCUUGUUAUUUUUAUAUACAUAUGUGUAUAUAUACGAUAGAGGUAUCCGAUCGAUUUGACGUGAAUUCGUAAGAGUUCAUGAAGAAAUAUUAUCUCAAAGAAGAAAGAGAAGAAGGGAAAAGAAAAAUAAGUAAAUAAUAAUCCAGAAGAGAACGACUUGUUUCGACAUCGUUGGUCACGUGAUAACGUCUUUUCCGAUAGAAGAAAAAAGGCGGGAUAAUCCUAUAACGAUAGAGAACGCCUUCGGCCGAGUCGAUGCAUCGAUUCGAAUCGGAAAUAAACUAUGUCGAUAAAGGGGAUAACGUUUUUCGAUAUCGAAGAAAAUCUUUCGUCGAAUAUUCGUCGAAAGGAAAGAAAGAAGAAAGGAAGGAAGGAAGGAAGGAAGGAAAGAAGAAAAUGUUUCAACAAUUUCUUUCAUAAGAAUGAAAGAAAGUAUGAUAGAAUGAUAGAAUGGUAGAAAGAAAGGAAGAAAGGAUAGAAAAAUAGAAAAAGAAAGAAGGAAAAUAAAAGAGACGUUCACGGAAAUUCGUCGAUCGGAACGAAGAGUUCAUUGGCGAGUUGCCUUCGGCAAAGGACUGAACGAGAAAGCGAGAGGGAGAGAGAGUGAGAAAGAGAGAGAGAAAGAAAGAAAGAAAGAGAGAAAGCGAGAAAGAGCGAGAAAGAGCGCGUGUGAGAGAAAGAGAGGGAAGGAGAUGCGCGCGCAAGCUGUGUCGCUAGACGGACGGAGUGAGGAACGAACGGUAGUUUCGUAUCCUCGUCGACAGGCGGCGUGCGGGUCAGUGUCGCAGUGUCCCCCGUCCUGCCCGGCAGGUUACACACCGUCGGCACUCCGUCCACGUCGUCUCCGAGGGAAGAUUCGCAUAUGUAAACGAAAAGUCUCAGGAGACAUCGAUUCUCGUCUGUUAGAUUCAAUGAAAAGUGAAGAGAAUAAGACGGGGGAUAUUACUAUCACGUGGGGAUUUACACAUCGACACAGUGUUGGAAACAUUGUUUUGAAAGACCAUUUAGAUAUAAACGAAAAGAGGGACAGUAAUAUAGGUCGUUGAAAUAUUAUCGUGACGACGAUGCGUCAUCGUCGAGAUCUUUGCGAAAUCUUUUUUGGAGAGAAAAAAAAAAAGAGAACGAGAAUGAUGGAGGAUAAGAAAGAACAUCAACGAUUAAAUAAAACGAGAGAUUCGUCGGAAUAGCGUUGGUUACAUAAAAGAGGGCGAGUUGUUAAAGGUGAAAGAAAAAGAAGAAGAAUAAGAAGAAAAAGAAGAAGAAGAAGAAGACGAAGAAGAAGAAGAAGAAGACGAAGAGAAUCGAUUCGAUCAAUCGAUUCUACUACGAAUAAUUUACUGCCUGACAAUGAGAAAGCAACGAAUUUAUACAUUUCUUUCCUUUUAAUUAUUGCCUGAUACAAUAUUAAGAAGAUAAAAACUUACGAGUAAAUAAAAUAAAAAAAGAAAGAUAAUUAAAAAAAAGAAAAAAGAGAAACAACGAGAGGGAGGUCAUCGAAGAUAGAGAGAUAAAAACAAAUAAAAAGAUAAAAAAAAAAAAAAGGAAAGUUGUCAAGCUAGAAAAGUGCGUAAAUGCCCUAAAUGAGCGAUGACGACGAAAGGGUGAUAAUAGGAGGCGAGGUGUCUUUGCGUAAGUCACGUUGGGAGGAAGAAGUGAAAAAAAAGGUAGAAGAGGAAAGCGAGGAGGAGG